ACUGAACGCUGGCGGCAGGCCUAACACAUGCAAGUCGAGCGGUAGCACAGAGAGCUUGCUCUCGGGUGACGAGCGGCGGACGGGUGAGUAAUGUCUGGGAAACUGCCUGAUGGAGGGGGAUAACUACUGGAAACGGUAGCUAAUACCGCAUAACGUCGCAAGACCAAAGUGGGGGACCUUCGGGCCUCAUGCCAUCAGAUGUGCCCAGAUGGGAUUAGCUAGUAGGUGGGGUAACGGCUCACCUAGGCGACGAUCCCUAGCUGGUCUGAGAGGAUGACCAGCCACACUGGAACUGAGACACGGUCCAGACUCCUACGGGAGGCAGCAGUGGGGAAUAUUGCACAAUGGGCGCAAGCCUGAUGCAGCCAUGCCGCGUGUGUGAAGAAGGCCUUCGGGUUGUAAAGCACUUUCAGCGGGGAGGAAGGCGUUAAGGUUAAUAACCUUGGCGAUUGACGUUACCCGCAGAAGAAGCACCGGCUAACUCCGUGCCAGCAGCCGCCGCUG
rnacentral:rRNA from 1 species